AGAGUUUGAUCCUGGCUCAGGAUGAACGCUAGCGGCAGGCCUAACACAUGCAAGUCGAGGGGUAACAGAGAAGCUUGCUUCUGCUGACGACCGGCGCACGGGUGCGUAACGCGUAUAGAGUCUACCUUAUACUGAGGGAUAGCCUUUGGAAACGAAGAUUAAUACCUCAUAGUAUGUUUACUUCGCAUGGAGUUAGCAUUAAAGGUUACGGUAUAAGAUGACUAUGCGUUCUAUUAGCUAGAUGGUGUGGUAACGGCACACCAUGGCAACGAUAGAUAGGGGCCCUGAGAGGGGGAUCCCCCACACUGGUACUGAGACACGGACCAGACUCCUACGGGAGGCAGCAGUGAGGAAUAUUGGACUAUGGAGGCAACUCUGAUCCAGCCAUGCCGCGUGCAGGAAGACUGCCCUAUGGGUUGUAAACUGCUUUUAUACGGGAAGAAACAUCACUACGUGUAGUGACUUGACGGUACCGUAAGAAUAAGGAUCGGCUAACUCCGUGCCAGCAGCCGCGGUAAUACGGAGGAUCCAAGCGUUAUCCGGAAUCAUUGGGUUUAAAGGGUCCGUAGGUGGAUAAUUAAGUCAGAGGUGAAAUCUUGCAGCUCAACUGUAAAAUUGCCUUUGAUACUGGUUAUCUUGAAUUAUUGUGAAGUGGUUAGAAUAUGUAGUGUAGCGGUGAAAUGCAUAGAUAUUACAUAGAAUACCAAUUGCGAAGGCAGAUCACUAACAAUAUAUUGACACUGAUGGACGAAAGCGUGGGGAGCGAACAGGAUUAGAUACCCUGGUAGUCCACGCCGUAAACGAUGGAUACUAGCUGUUCGGAUUUAUCUGAGUGGCUAAGCGAAAGUGAUAAGUAUCCCACCUGGGGAGUACGUUCGCAAGUAUGAAACUCAAAGGAAUUGACGGGGGCCCGCACAAGCGGUGGAGCAUGUGGUUUAAUUCGAUGAUACGCGAGGAACCUUACCAGGGCUUAAAUGUAGAUUGCAUUAGCUAGAGAUAGCUAUUUCUUCGGACUAUCUACAAGGUGCUGCAUGGUUGUCGUCAGCUCGUGCCGUGAGGUGUCAGGUUAAGUCCUAUAACGAGCGCAACCCCUGUUGUUAGUUGCCAGUGAGUCAAGUCGGGAACUCUAACAAGACUGCCAGUGCAAACUGUGAGGAAGGUGGGGAUGACGUCAAAUCAUCACGGCCCUUACGUCCUGGGCUACACACGUGCUACAAUGGUA
rnacentral:rRNA from 1 species